rnacentral:rRNA from 19 species
GACGAGGCACUACGGUGCUGAAGCAACAAAUGCCCUGCUUCCAGGAAAAGCCUCUAAGCAUCAGGUAACAUCAAAUCGUACCCCAAACCGACACAGGUGGUCAGGUAGAGAAUACCAAGGCGCUUGAGAGAACUCGGGUGAAGGAACUAGGCAAAAUGGUGCCGUAACUUCGGGAGAAGGCACGCUGACACGUAGGUGAAGUGAUUUACUCAUGGAGCUGAAGUCAGUCGAAGAUACCAGCUGGCUGCAACUGUUUAUUAAAAACACAGCACUGUGCAAACACGAAAGUGGACGUAUACGGUGUGACGCCUGCCCGGUGCCGGAAGGUUAAUUGAUGGGGUCAGCGCAAGCGAAGCUCCUGAUCGAAGCCCCGGUAAACGGCGGCCGUAACUAUAACGGUCCUAAGGUAGCGAAAUUCCUUGUCGGGUAAGUUCCGACCUGCACGAAUGGCGUAAUGAUGGCCAGGCUGUCUCCACCCGAGACUCAGUGAAAUUGAACUCGCUGUGAAGAUGCAGUGUACCCGCGGCAAGACGGAAAGACCCCGUGAACCUUUACUAUAGCUUGACACUGAACAUUGAGCCUUGAUGUGUAGGAUAGGUGGGAGGCUUUGAAGUGUGGACGCCAGUCUGCAUGGAGCCGACCUUGAAAUACCACCCUUUAAUGUUUGAUGUUCUAACGUGGACCCGUAAUCCGGGUUGCGGACAGUGUCUGGUGGGUAGUUUGACUGGGGCGGUCUCCUCCUAAAGAGUAACGGAGGAGCACGAAGGUUGGCUAAUCCUGGUCGGACAUCAGGAGGUUAGUGCAAUGGCAUAAGCCAGCUUGACUGCGAGCGUGACGGCGCGAGCAGGUGCGAAAGCAGGUCAUAGUGAUCCGGUGGUUCUGAAUGGAAGGGCCAUCGCUCAACGGAUAAAAGGUACUCCGGGGAUAACAGGCUGAUACCGCCCAAGAGUUCAUAUCGACGGCGGUGUUUGGCACCUCGAUGUCGGCUCAUCACAUCCUGGGGCUGAAGUAGGUCCCAAGGGUAUGGCUGUUCGCCAUUUAAAGUGGUACGCGAGCUGGGUUUAGAACGUCGUGAGACAGUUCGGUCCCUAUCUGCCGUGGGCGCUGGAGAACUGAGGGGGGCUGCUCCUAGUACGAGAGGACCGGAGUGGACGCAUCACUGGUGUUCGGGUUGUCAUGCCAAUGGCACUGCCCGGUAGCUAAAUGCGGAAGAGAUAAGUGCUGAAAGCAUCUAAGCACGAAACUUGCCCCGAGAUGAGUUCUCCCUGAGACUUAGAGUCUCCUGAAGGAACGUUGAAGACGACGACGUUGAUAGGCCGGGUGUGUAAGCGCAGCGAUGCGUUGAGCUAACCGGUACUAAUGAACCGUGAGGCUUAACCUUACAACGCCGAAG